UCUUGCGCAAUGCAUCACCUAGCGAAAGCAAAGCUUCUCCCCGUCUCUCUGAUCCACACACUCUCUCAAGCUGCCCAGAUCAGGUCCGGUGGAAGAGGGAUGCCAGAAGUGGCGCGGCGGUCUCUCUAUCAUGUACUAUUGACGA
ensembl:ncRNA F13H6.22 ncRNA